ACUACGGGUGGCAGCAGUGGGGAAUAUUGGGCAAUGGGCGCAAGCCUGACCCAGCAACGCCGCGUGAAGGAAGAAGGCUUUCGGGUUGUAAACUUCUUUUCUCAGGGACGAAGAAAGUGACGGUACCUGAGGAAUAAGCCACGGCUAACUACGGGCCAGCAGCCGCGGUAAUACGUAGGUGGCAAGCGUUAUCCGGAUUUAUUGGGUGUAAAGGGCGUGUAGGCGGGAGCGCAAGUCAGAUGUGAAAACUCAGGGCUCAACCCUGAGCCUGCAUUUGAAACUGUGUUUCUUGAGUGCUGGAGAGGCAAUCGGAAUUCCGUGUGUAGCGGUGAAAUGCGUAGAUAUACGGAGGAACACCAGUGGCGAAGGCGGAUUGCUGGACAGUAACUGACGCUGAGGCGCGAAAGCGUGGGGAGCAAACAGGAUUAGAUACCCGAGUAGUC
rnacentral:rRNA from 1 species